ACCCCGAUUAAAAUGAUUGAUAUAGUUGACGAAAAUACGUGCGUUGACGCGUAUAGUAGAAAAAGCCUUGUAUUAUAAUGCGGGCGAUUAUUAAAGUUGACGUUACUAACUUUUGUGAAUGUUUUAAUUGAAGGACACUCGCGUUUGAAGACGACGAGAGUCAAACGAAUUGUGGAUAUAAUGAUGGAACGGUCCGAGAUAUGGCAAGGAGAGCAUAAUCAUCAAGGACCUAAAUCGCGUAACGAUUGCAAAUAAGUAACGGCAAGAAAGCCCUUUAAGGCAAGCAAUAUCAGUGUGUGUGUGUGCGCAGGAACGAUCAGAAGAACAGGGGGUUCUUUCAAAACCCUAAAGCACAUGAAAUCCAGCAAAAUCAAGGAGAAAUCGAGCAAAGAAAUUAGGGCUUUAACUAAAAUCGUGAUCACCAAGCUAAGGGGAUCGGAAGUUUGACGCCUAACAAGCUAGGUGGAAGCUUGUGGAUGAAGCGGGUCAAACGGAGCGCGUACGGAAAGAAAGGCGUGGCAUGGAUGCAAGGUAAGUAUAGCUUACACUAGUCUUAUAUGUUAGGAUAUUCUCUUAUCGUAUUAGUUAUGAAUGAGAUAAAUACUUAAUUGAGGUAUGAUGUUCCGGCGUGUAAACGUACGGAACAAAGUAGUCAAUCAUGACAAGAAACCAUGUGGAUGGUUAAAAGGAGUUAAAUCGGUAAAUUGGUCAUGCGUUGACCAUAACUAUUGGUUUUGAAAGACACAGUAAAACAUAAACCAUGAUAGGCUAAAAAGUGUUAAGAAAUGAUUAAUAAGUGAAAUGACCGCACGAUGUAAACCGGAGCGAGUCAUGUAGAUGAGAUGGUAAUAAAUAUCAUCUCGUCAACAUAUUCGGUCACUUAGACCAAAUGGGUUAAAAGGUGAAGAUAUCACCCUUUGACAAUAACGACUAAUGAUUUUUGUCGAGUUAUAUUAUUUCAGGUGUAAAUGUCAAAUGGGUAUUAGCAACGCUAUGAAUUAGCGGUUAUAAAAGCAAGGUAUUAAAAACGGGUCAAUAUAUUGAUCUGCGCCAGGUAUGUGAAAAAGGGUAACCCUCAUUUAGAACAUGUGGUUCAAAGAGUGUUAAAAGUAGUCAAGGUGAACAUUUGGUUACUUGAUAAGUAAACCAAAUGUUUUAGGUAAGGAACAUUGUAUUUGGAAAGCUUAAUGACUUUUCAAAUAAAAUCAUAGGUUAAAAGAGGGAUUACGGGUCAAAAUAAGCAUACGAGUGAAAACGGGUUUAAAUUGUGUAAUAAACCUGUGAUUAUAACCUAAUAUGGUAAAUAACCUUAAUUUGAAGUAGUGUACGUGAUAUAAAGGUUAAACAAGUAUGUUUGUUUGAUAAACGUAUAAACGGGUCAAAAUUUUGGUAAAAGAGUAAUAAGCCGAAGACUUAAAAGUCUUAAAUUUUAUUAAUUCGGAUGUUGGAUUUUAACUCCAUAUGAUGGAAGAUUAAAUUACAAUCAUGUAGGAAGAAACGGUAGAUCAAACGGAUAAGCGGUUUGAAAGAUACGAAAGUUUUCGUGUCGAAUAACGGCAAAAAUAGAGAAGCUGGAUGCAGAGUCCACCGUAAUUUACGGUCCCACCGUAAAUUACGGUGGAGAUGAAUUGGUUACGGUGCUAAUUGUCUGUUGUACGGUAGAAGAAUAGAAACCCAGGGGCCACCGUAAUUUACGGUCCCACCGUAAAUUACGGUGGAGAUUAUUUUUUUUAUAUAUAUAUUUUGUUUUCAUUUGAAAAUCAAUUGUUUCCCGGACAUCGUUCGGACAUGAUUUAAACCCCGUAUGACUAAAGCAUUUCAUGUUUAUGAAAUGUAGGUACACCUUGGACGCCGGAAGACGAUCAAGCUCAGCGAAGAACCGAACACGAUAAUGAUACACGCUUCCGCACUUUGCUACGUUGUA